rnacentral:rRNA from 1 species
UGGGGAAUUUUGCACAAUGGGGGAAACCCUGAUGCAGCGACACCGCGUGAUUUAGAAGGCCUUCGGGUUGUAAAAAUCUUUUCUAUGGGAAUAAAAUGACAGUACCAUAGGAAUAAGGACCGGCUAAUUACGUGCCAGCAGCCGCGGUAAUACGUAAGGUCCGAGCGUUGUCCGGAAUCAUUGGGCGUAAAGGGUACGUAGGCGGGUAAGCAAGUUAGAAGUGAAAUCCUAUAGCUCAACUAUAGUAAGCUUUUAAAACUGCUCAUCUUGAGGUAUGGAAGGGAAAGUGGAAUUCCUAGUGUAGCGGUGAAAUGCGCAGAUAUUAGGAGGAAUACCGGUGGCGAAGGCGACUUUCUGGCCAUAACCUGACGCUGAGGUACGAAAGCGUGGGUAGCAAACAGG